GGACGAAGCUAUUCAGGUUAAUAGCCGAGAGGGUGACGGUACCUCCAGAAGAAGCCCCGGCUAACUACGUGCCAGCAGCCGCGGUAAUACGUAGGGGGCUAGCGUUGUCCGGAUUUAUUGGGCGUAAAGAGCGUGUAGGCGGCCGAGUAAGUCCGGUGUGAAAACUCGAGGCUUAACCUCGAGAUGUCAUCGGAAACUAUUCGGCUAGAGUCCGGAAGAGGAGAGUGGAAUUCCUGGUGUAGCGGUGAAAUGCGCAGAUAUCAGGAAGAACACCUAUGGCGAAAGCAGCUCUCUGGGACGGUACUGACGCUGAGACGCGAAAGCGUGGGGAGCGAACAGGAUUAGAUACCCUGGUAGUCCACGCCGUAAACGAUGGGUGCUAGGUGUGGGCGGUGUCGACUCCGUCCGUGCCGAAGCUAACGCAUUAAGCACCCCGCCUGGGGAGUACGGCCGCAAGGCUAAAACUCAAAGGAAUUGACG
rnacentral:rRNA from 1 species